UACGAAGGGGGUUAGCGUUGUUCGGAUUUACUGGGCGUAAAGCGCACGUAGGCGGAUUGUUAAGUGAGGGGUGAAAUCCCAGGGCUCAACCCUGGAACUGCCUUUCAUACUGGCAAUCUUGAGUCCGGAAGAGGUGAGUGGAACUCCUAGUGUAGAGGUGGAAUUCGUAGAUAUCAGGAGGAACACCAAUAGCGAAGGCAGCUCGCUGGGACGUUACUGACACUGAGGCGCGAAAGCGUGGGGAGCGAACAGG
rnacentral:rRNA from 1 species